GACGAACGCUGGCGGCGUGCUUAACACAUGCAAGUCGAACGCUGAAGCUCAGCUUUUGUUGGGUGGAUGAGUGGCGCACGGGUAAGUAACACGUGUGUAACCUGCCCCCUUCUUUGGGAUAACGCCCGGAAACGGGUGCUAAUACUGGAUAUUCACUGGUCUUCGCAUGGGGGCUGGUGGAAAGGGUUUUUCUGGUGGGGGAUGGGCUCGCGGCCUAUCAGCUUGUUGGUGGGGUGAUGGCCUACCAAGGCUUUGACGGGUAGCCGGCCUGAGAGGGUGACCGGUCACAUUGGGACUGAGAUACGGCCCAGACUCCUACGGGAGGCAGCAGUGGGGAAUAUUGCACAAUGGGCGCAAGCCUGAUGCAGCGACGCCGCGUGAGGGAUGGAGGCCUUCGGGUUGUGAACCUCUUUCGCUCAUGGUCAAGCCGCAACAAUGGUUGUGGUGAGGGUAGUGGGUAAAGAAGCGCCGGCUAACUACGUG
rnacentral:rRNA from 1 species